rnacentral:rRNA from 1 species
CCUACGGGCGGCUGCAGUGGGGAAUAUUGGACAAUGGGCGAAAGCCUGAUCCAGCCAUGCCGCGUGUGUGAAGAAGGCCUUCGGGUUGUAAAGCACUUUCAGUGGGGAAGAAAGCCUUGGGGCUAAUACCCUCGAGGAAGGACAUCACCCACAGAAGAAGCACCGGCUAACUCCGUGCCAGCAGCCGCGGUAAUACGGAGGGUGCGAGCGUUAAUCGGAAUUACUGGGCGUAAAGCGCGCGUAGGCGGUCUGAUAAGCCGGUUGUGAAAGCCCCGGGCUCAACCUGGGAACGGCAUCCGGAACUGUCAGGCUAGAGUGCAGGAGAGGAAGGUAGAAUUCCCGGUGUAGCGGUGAAAUGCGUAGAGAUCGGGAGGAAUACCAGUGGCGAAGGCGGCCUUCUGGACUGACACUGACGCUGAGGUGCGAAAGCGUGGGUAGCAAACAGGACUAGAUACCCGAGUAGUC